rnacentral:rRNA from 1 species
UGAGGAAUAUUGGUCAAUGGGCGCAAGCCUGAACCAGCCAAGUCGCGUGAGGGAAGACGGUCCUAUGGAUUGUAAACCUCUUUUGUCGGGGAGCAAAGCGCGGUACGAGUACCGUGAAGGAGAGUACCCGAAGAAAAAGCAUCGGCUAACUCCGUGCCAGCAGCCGCGGUAAUACGGAGGAUGCGAGCGUUAUCCGGAUUUAUUGGGUUUAAAGGGUGCGUAGGCGGAUUUGUAAGUCAGCGGUAAAAAUGCGGUGCUCAACGCCGUAUCGCCGUUGAAACUGCGGGUCUUGAGUGAGCGAGAAGUAUGCGGAAUGCGUGGUGUAGCGGUGAAAUGCAUAGAUAUCACGCAGAACUCCGAUUGCGAAGGCAGCAUACCGGCGCUCAACUGACGCUGAGGCACGAAAGCGUGGGGAUCGAACAGG